GCUCGACACUAACCACCUCUUCACAUGCCCUCUCAAACCAAUUAAUCUAACCCCACUCUCCCUUUAGUCCAAUUCCGUUGAAGCAGCUCGUUUCCUGGACCUAUCACUAGAUGACCUCGGCGACUUAGACUGAACAAACCUGUGCCUAAGCGGGGUUAGCGAACCGAUACAACAACAACAACAUCAAGUGGCAUUUUAAUCCUCCUGGAGUCAUAUGGGCGGCCUCUGGGAAGCAGGAGUUAAGAGCUUAAAAAUACACUUAACAAAGGUGGCGCAGAAGAAUUGGCAACGCUUUUAACAAAAAUCGGAAGUUGUUUGAAUCUCGCCCCCUAAACCCCAUCAGCGAUGUCCCUACAAGUUUAAAACUUUUAACUACAAGUCAUUGCCUAAUCGGUACUCCGUUACUCUCCCGACCUGAACUUCACCUAGAAGACGCAAAGCUCAGUACCGUGAAUAGAUGGCUGAAACUAAAGAUAUUCCAUCAACACUUCUGUAUUCGAUGGAAAGAAGAAUACUUAAAGGAACUCCACAAGCAUUAUAAGUGGAAAUACCUUCACACUAAUAUUGUAUUCCCAUUUACAGUAUCAAGGCACCCUCUAAGGCAAAAGACCCUCGAGAACACAGUCCAGUUAUCCCUGUGCGCUCGCGAAGCAGCAGUCGAAGCGUCAGCCCGAUAUCCGAACCAAGAACCCUAACCAGACGGCUACAACGAUUCAGAGCGACAGAGGAAAACGACUAUAUUCAUCGCACAACACAACAUACUAUAACCCAUUUGAAGUGGAACUGGAAACCCGCUUAUGAGUGCGUUGCCUGCGGAUUUUGCAAAAAGGACCAUCGCUUGGCGACAUGCUACAAGUACAUUGGAAUGAAUGUCGGAGAAAAGUUUGGCACUAUUACACGACACAAGUACUGCGUGAGCUGUUUGGCCCGUUCACACAAAACCCGAGACUACACUAGUAAGACUAGGUGUUCUACUUGUAAUGUAGAGUACCAUUCUACGAUACACGGUCACCCAAAGUUUGCUGAAGAAGAGACAAGGGGCAAGGGACAGACAAAAUAAUGCUCAAACUGAGAGCAGAUAUCAACCCGCAAAUCAUCCGACCCGGCUUGUUCAACCUCAAUAAUGUAACAGUAGUCGCUCAAAGCACCGGAUUCGGUUGAGCCUUAGCCGGCACAAUUUGAAGCCGACCCUAAGUAUUCAAAGAACUCAUUUGAAUUCUCCUCCUACUCCAUUUCUUUAAAUUGUAAUUUUAAUCCAAAUUUUUAUUCUCAGAUCCUGCAAGGCGACUAGGAUGUUUAUGUCCAAUAAACACUUCCCUGCAUUGUACCCAAAGCGAAUAGUGGACAAUGCAAAAGCACACAACAGAGAUUUAUAUAUAGUUUUUGAAAAACAACGAAAACAAAUGCAGUACGAAGGACGUUACUGAAUUAUAAUAAGGCUAUGGGCGGCGUCGAUUAAAGGACUGGUAAAUUUAGCUUAUACCGAGCGUCGAUAAGAAGAAAAAAGUGGUGUUUCCGCUUGGACGUUAAUGGGUUAAAACUAUUUGCUUAAUCAGUUUUUACUGCAAGAACUCAGUCUUCAGGUUACUGAUAUAAUUGUGGCGGCGGCUGUUGCCGGAGGAGCACCGUUCGAUCGCAAGCCUACAGAUCCUCACGAAACCCACGCGCUGUUCA